rnacentral:rRNA from 1 species
GUCCACGCCGUAAACUAUUGGUGCUAGCCGUCGGAUAGCUUGCCUAUUCGGUGGCGCAGCUAACGCAUUAAGCACCCCGCCUGGGGAGUACGGCCGCAAGGUUAAAACUCAAAGUAAUUGACGGGGGCCCGCGACAAGCGGUGGAGCAUGUGGUUUAAUUCGACGCAACGCGAAGAACCUUACCAGCUCUUGACAUUUCCUGACUGGUUCCAGAGAUGGGAUCGUCCUAGCAAUAGGCAGGAGGACAGGUGCUGCAUGGCUGUCGU